ACUUAUAAAAAAACUUAAUGUAUGAUCUAGCUAUGAUCGAAACUAUAGCUAGCUACUAGGACGAAUUGUUUGGGAGAAUCCGAACUCGACUUUUAAUAGGAAUAAUUCUUAAUUAAACUUUAUUUACCUUGCCGCCAAACUCUAAAUUACCGGUGUCCCACUCUUAAAAACUGGAUGAUUAAGACAAAAAAAAGGAGAAAAUAAACGAUAACUAGGUUAAUUAUUUUAAACUUAUACAAAAUAUAACACUCAAAAGAUAAUUAACACCCAUGAACAAAAUUAUAGCUAGAUUUAUCUUUUUAAAUCAUAUUACAUGACUAAAAUGGGAUUAGACCUAUUCAAUAAAAACUCAUCCACCGACCUCACACAUGCAUUUAUCAUUUACGCAGAAACCAGCAGACAUAAUUUUAUGCAUCAAAAGGCACGCAAUGUGACAAACAACGGUGUCUUCUCCAUUAUUGUGUCUGCAUGGACCUUCAAAACCAAAACAUUUUACUAGUAUCUCAGAUGCCUCAAUCUGCAUCACUGCUUCUUCUGCAAUUUUCAAAUCAAACAAAAUAUUAUUAUUUUUUAUUUAUUUUGAAAUUAAGUGGUGUAUUUACACUUCUUAAUAAAAUUAUUAUCUAUAUUUUAUCGCUACACAAAUUAUUGAAUAGGAAAUUAUUUUUAAAAUAUGUUAAUUUAUGAUUCAUUACGAUAUAAAUUUUAAAUCUUUAAAUUUACAUUUUAUAAAAA
rnacentral:lncRNA from 1 species